AAAGAAGGGAGUCAGGUUUCCACCAAUUAAUUCCACACCCAAUCAUUGGUGAUUCCUCCUCUAUUUAACAAAGUCACCCACGUACUUUCUGUUAGGGAAUUUGGCUCUCAUUCCACAUCCUUGCUCCUGAAUGUUAGGAUCAUGUGCCAAGUGUCCAUUCUCAUCAUAAGAAUUGGUUAUUGUAAUGACUGUUUUGCCCUUAUUCAUAACA
rnacentral:lncRNA from 1 species